UCAUUUAAAAUAAAAUCAUUAAUCCAGAGCGAGGCAUGAAGCAAAAGGCGUGAAAGGUGCGUUUAGUCACAAAAAGUUCUCUGUUAUUAGCGGCCUCCUUCCUUGUUUGGUUGCCGCUAAGAGAAUUUCUCAGUUCUUUCAUAAUUUAUUGAAUCUGGGUAAGCUCAGCUGUUUUUACGCAAAAGAUGGUGCCUUCCAUUUUCUGUCAUGCGAUUGCUUGAGGGAAAAUUCAAUUUAGCUCGAAGGACGCUUCUCCAAAAGCUUCAUCGACUUCUCAGAGGUUCUCAGAGGAUGCUUCAACAAUAUGGUUCCUAGAGCUUCAUCAACUUCCGCACUAAACAAGUUGAAGAAGAGGAUGCUUGUUCUCUUGAAGCAAAUCCUUUUGACGAAGAGCGCCAAAAUGUGGUUCCCGCAGGAUGCUUGUUCUGUUACAUUUGGCAAAUCCUUUGGAUGCUUGUUCAUUGCUGUGACAUCCUUUUGGGUUCAAUGAAAUUGAGCAAGUUGGCGAUUGAUUAAGUUUUUGCCUAAUGUUGACUUGUUGAGCAAUGCUAUCUAAAGACAAAUAGGAAGAGAAAAGGUUUUUGAUCUUUGAUUUGUUGUGUACAAACUUGAAGAGGAAUAAAGUGAUGUUAAUUGUUGAGUUGUUAUGCACAAACUUUGCAAUUGUCUAUCACUGUUCUUGAAGCUACAUGGAUGAGAUGCAGAGGCUUGCGGAAAAAUUUAUUCUUAUAAUUGAAGAGAUAAAUAUUUAUUGGUGCAAAUUCUUCAUUAAUUCCCUGCUGUAAUUGUUGAAUUCUUGAGCAUUUGCUAAAAUUAUUGAAAUUUGUUAUUGAUUUAUUGAAAUUAUGUAA